CAUCAAAUGACUGAAAGCAAGUAAUGGUCUCUUAAACCAAAAUAUAGUAAUAGCACCUACUUUUGAUGA
rnacentral:tRNA from 1 species